rnacentral:lncRNA from 1 species
UAUAGGUGACGAGUUCAGGGGACCGCAGUCAGGGAAUGUAUUUAAAAAUAUAUAUAUAUUUACAUUCAUUGACCUCAGUUAUCCUAAAUAGCGGUUGUGACUAGAUGGGAGUACAGCUGCGACCGGAAGUGACUUUUCGUAGCAGGUUAAGAUGCCGUUUUAGCUAGCCCUAACCCCAUAUCAUAAUUACCCUAACAUACUACAUACAUUUUCCUAACCUGGUACGAAAUAGUCUCUCCUGGUCGUAACUGUAUACCGCCUAGUCAAAACUCUAAAUAGCCAUUUUCUACAUGUAGGCAGUUUUAUUUUGGAGGUAGAACAGUGUUCUACAAGCUAUAAUGAAUGAGAGUGAUCCAAAAUAUUUUUCAAGGAGCAGAUGCCCCAAAACUAACCUUUUUCUGUAAAUGACAUGACAAUUCAAUAAGUGGAAUCAUUGCCACUGUGUGCCAACCUGCCACGAUGGUGCCCUUGCUGAGUGUAAUUGCCAAACAUCGGUCUCUUUCUGUUGUCUGUAGGUACAUGGGAUUGGAUGAGUGACUCACCUCAACUCCCACCAUGUGAGUGUGCUGUCUGCUAUCACUCCUAGUUUGGCCCGGGUGGCAGGCUUCACCUGCUCCGCUGCAGGUCGGUAGUUCAGGGGGGUGCUGGACGAGCACCUAGCCAUGCUGUACUUUCCGGAGGGGAACAAGGAGCUGGCUGUGAAGGGGGCUGUACCACUGGAGCCUACCCUCCUCCUUCCAGCUACUGAAGGAUCUGGUGGCAGACGGGAAGGGACUUUUCCAUCUUGUUCCUUAACUUUUGGCUGAGACCUUCCUCGCGUGCUGUCUUCUGCGUCCCGUGCCCUCACCCAGAGCUCCCACCCACUGUUCCCCCGAACUCCCAGCCCUUAAGGUUGGCCAGGAACACCUACACUCCUUCCUGGGAGGAAAGCUUCGGUGCCGGGACCCCUUCGACCAGGAAGUCACAGCACAUAUUCAUAGAUGACAGCAUCCUGCAGAAUGAUGAGGACAUUGUUGCCCAUCCAAAGGUAUGUUUUUUUCUUUCUCGGUUCAUGUUCUUUUGGAUGGUUUGUGCGUACUCAUAUGGAUGUGGAUUUGUACCAUUGCAGAUCCAGUAUGUUUUAAAUGUCCUCACAUGGUGUUUCUGUUCUUGGUCCAUGUCUGAUUCUGAAGGUGUUCCUGGACUGAGACGGCUCAGAGACCUGCAUAUAGCCUCCACCUCACAGCUGUAUGACCUACGUCUGGUCCAGAACGACCGUUCCGAGCCAUCUCAGACCUAG